GAUUCUUCAUGAGGGCAGGAUGCACUGGCCCUCCCUUUUCCUAGGAACAAUAUCAGAGGCCUCAUGAAGCCACUGCCUGCCUGAGUAUAACUCUCUAGUGUUCACGACUCCUGGCCCCAGACAUGAGUGGGCUCCAAAAGUUUCUCCCUGCUUGACAAGCCACACUGUCUUCCCAGCCCCAUCUCUCCUAAUCCUCAGCACUUAGAGCCACAGCUGCGGGAUAUGGCAUGGAGAGAGGGCUUGUAGGGGCUGACCAGGAGCAGUUGUUAGGGAGCCAGCCUGCAGCUCCAGCCAACUUCCAAGCAGAAAUGGGAUCGCAGACAAUGAGAACUCACACUUAUUGGGAUGGCCUGACCCCCUUAAACUCCACUUCAAUCCCAUGAGGGAAGUACAGUACUGGGAUCACCAUCUUACAGAAGAAGAGACUGAGGCUUGAAGAGGUUAAGCCAUUUAUCCAAGGACCUCCAGAAGGAAGCAGUGGUACCUGUCCAACCAGAGGAGGGGUGAAAUGAGGUGGGCAAGGAGACAACCAUCUCCAAGGCAGAGAGCCAGGGAGAGAGCGGAUGAGGUGGGAACCUCCCCCAGCUGCAUCCCAUCUGCCCCGGGCAGGCAGCCAGGCAAGAGGAAGCUGGAGACAGAAUUGCGGCUCCCCAAAGGCCCCUGGGCUGAAAAUCGAGGCAAAAACACUGAGAGGUGUCUGGGGGCUGGCCUGUGGCGGCCUGAGGUCAGGGGCCUGGCCUGGAGCUGCCAGUGCCGCAGGCCCUGCCAGAGAGAGCAGCAGGGCCUGGAGGCUGAGAAUUCAGGCUAGAACACGGAUCAGCAACUCCCAGGCAACCUGGGGCAAGCCCAGGGGUGGCCCAGUGCCCCUCUGUCCAGAGCCCAGAGACUGAAGAAUGCGGGCGCACACAGGAGGCAGCAGGAUCGGUCUCUGCAGGCUUCCCUCAGGGGAGUUCGGAUGCCAGCGGGCAGAGAGAUCAAGAGGGAAGAGAGGAGAGGGGAGUGGCCAGGGAAGGGAUUUGGAUGAGACACCUGAGAACAUCCGCAGGGGGAGGAGGGGAGGAUGGAGAAGCCGGCACAGGCAGCAGGAACAAGCAGAGCCCACAGCCCCUGAUCGAAGAUGAUCUCGUUUCCGGUCUGGCCCCAGCCCUUGGCAGGCCCUGGAGUGGAGCUUCCCUCCAAGAGCGUAAGGCAGGAGUAUUGCAUUUGAAGUUCCUCUUUAUGUUCCCAACCCGCCUCUGCACUCCAGUGGGACAGGAGACUGCAGAAACGGCUGCUGGGGCCCAGAGGGAAAGGCCUCCCACCACUUCCUGUACCUGCGCUGGGGUGGUCCCCCUGCCCUGCACUCCGAGUGGGGAGUUGGUCCUUAACCCAGGAAGGAAUGUGAUCUCUGCCUGCCAAACCACCCUGGUGUUGGGGGCAGCCCACUGCCCAGCUCCCAGGCAAGAAAGCAGUUCCCCAUCACUUCCAGGGAAGGGGCCAGACUGUAGUGGGGCACCCAGGACCCUUCAGAAUCCAGCCUCCGUAUCUUUCCAGUCCUAUCUUUACCACCAGCCCUCUCUGCCACCACUGAGAAUCCCACUAAACAAAGUGAGGGGGGCCCUGGAGGCAGGAAGCCACCGACUCAGCCGGGCUCAGAGAAGGCAACAGGAGAGUUGGCCUUGAACCGUGGUAGACCCUCACAGGGGAGAGGGCAGGGCACUCUGGGCGGGGCAGGGGGUGCUGCUUGCGAAAGGGAGUGGUGUGGAUGGAAAUGCUGAGCUAUCAGUUUGGGGGCAAGGUAGGGGAUGGGGCAGCAAAUGGAUUGAGGGGAGCUGGCAAAUUCUGAAGUCCCCUUUCCUGGUAGGUGGUGAUCACUGCCUCUCUUUGAAAUGCCCUUCCUGCCCACAGGCAGACAGCAGGCUCCAGGUCAAAACCUCCUGCUUCUCUGAGAAGCUCUCCCAUUCUCCUCUCUCCUUUCAAACCUGGCAGCUAUCUGGAUGUCUCUGAUUCCUGUCACCCUGGUUGGUCCAGCCUCUCUCCUCCUGGAUGCUUUGGUAGAAUGAACAUCUAUGUCCAGAGCUUGGGUACAGCCUCUCCCGCUCUCCCAGUGCGGUGGGCUACACUGCACAUCCUACCCGGACCAGCAGCUGGCACCUGCUUCUCCAGGAAGGCCAUCUGGCCAGGAGAGGAGAGGAGCACUGGCCUGGUGCUAGAGCGUUGGACCUCUGACAGCCUGAGUCCCCUACUGCAGCCCCUAUGCCUUUGGCCUUCCCACCUACAUUCUACUUUUAGAAAACCCAGGGCCUCGGCAGCAGAGAGUAGCGUAUUUUGAAAGAGUCCAAAUGGAGCAAGUGGGGAGGGGCAGCGACCGGGCGGGAAGCGCGUCUCCGUUGGAGGGCACUGCUUUGCCCGGAACUCACUAUUCUUUCCCAGUGUUAAUUAUCAAAAUUAACCGAACACUAUAAAUAACCCAACUUGGAGACUUGAAGAGCCUCACUUCUAAUUAAUUCAUUUCCAAUCAAGGCACUUCUACGCCCCCCUACCCUAGAAUCUGACGGAUGGGAACCUCAUUGUGCAGCUUCUUGAAUAUCGAAUCCCACCGUCCCUCUCACUCCUGAGCUGUGAACGCUCAAAGAGAAAAGAGAGAGGGGAGGAAAAAACACUCUGCUUUCUUGGAAGGGGGUAGCCUAUAAAUAACCCCAUAUUGGUGCA